AUGAAGAUUUGCAUUGAAAGAGGUUGGUCUAAGGUUUGGUUUAAAACUGAUUCUAGUUCAAUUGUCAAAGCUUUUACCGACCAUAAUUUAGUUCCUCUCAUUUUUAGAAAUAGAUGGCGUUUCUGCCUCCUUCAUCAUAGAUUUUCUCACAUUAUCAUCACUCACAUCUAUAGAGAAGGUAAUACUUGUGCCAUUUUUUUGAUAAAUUUCGUGCUCGACAUUAAUUCUACCACUUUUUUUGAUUCCAUACCUCCGGGUAUUCAUAAUGAUUUUGUGAAGAAUAGGUUAAGACUUACCGUUCUUUAG